rnacentral:rRNA from 1 species
GAUGAACGUGACAGAAUGCUUAACACAUGCAAGUCAACUUGAAUUUGGGUUUUUAACUUAGAUUUGGGUGGCGGACGGGUGAGUAACGCGUAGAGAACUUGCCUCACAGUUAGGGACAACAUUUAGAAAUGAAUGCUAAUACCUGAUAUUAUGGUUAUAGGGCAUUCCUAUAACUAUGAAAGCUAUAAGCACUGUGAGAGAGCUUUGCGUCCCAUUAGCUAGUUGGAGAGGUAACAGCUCACCAAGGCGAUGAUGGGUAGCCGGCCUGAGAGGGUGAACGGCCACAAGGGGACUGAGACACGGCCCUUACUCCUACGGGAGGCAGCAGUGGGGAAUAUUGGACAAUGGACCGAGAGUCUGAUCCAGCAAUUCUGUGUGCACGAUGAAGUUUUUUCG